rnacentral:lncRNA from 1 species
CGUUAACCCUGGAGCGCAGUGCUGUGGAGAGCCCGCUCCAUGUCAAGCUCUGGGCUAGGCCUUGCUUCUUACUCAGCUGUCACUCAAAGCCUCUACGUGGCUUAGGAGCCACGGCUCAUCUUCC